UUUUUUAUUAUAGUUAUUUUGGUCUUUACAUGUCAUUUGGUUGUUGGCAACUACAUUUGGAUUUCAAUUAUACUCAACUCUUUGUCUAUAUAUCCUUCAAUUUUCAUAUUACAAACUGAUAAUUUUCUUUCUUUAAUUUAUCAGAAUUCUAAGACAAAAUGGGAAUGUUAUGUACACUGCAAAAAACAGACUGCCCUUAGACGUCAACAUGGUGGAAUGGUUGCAGCCUACUUCAUUCUUGUUUAUCAUAUUUGUUGAUAACUAUGGUAGAGAUAUUAUUUUGGGUAUUUUGGCGGUCUGGAAAUUGGAAUCUCAUUGCCAUAACAAAGUUAUUUGAUAAAAUCCUUAUAGCACUCAGCUUCACAAAAACUAUUAUUCUCAUUUCAAACUAAAUACUAGGAUCUGAUUGUUUAGCCGAUGCCUUGCAAUCAGUUGAUUUUGAUGUUUUCUCACGAACCAGUGGCAACUUUGCCACAGUAUCCUGUAACUAUGCACCCUUAAAUGAAAAUUUGUAAAAUGACAGGAGUAGAGCAAACUAAAAAUAUAGCUUUGUAUACAUGUUUAACAAAUAUAGUCUGUUGGUAAUACAUUCUUUCUUUCC